AUUGAACGCUGGCGGCAGGCCUAACACAUGCAAGUCGAGCGGAGCGGCGGACGGGUGAGUAAUGCCUAGGAAUCUGCCUGGUAGUGGGGGAUAACGUACGGAAACGGGCGCUAGUACCGCAUACUCUCAGAUGAGCCUAGGGCGGAUUAGCUAGUUGGGGGGGUAAAGGCCUACCAAGGCGACGAGCCGGAACUGGUCUGAGAGGAUGAUCAGUCAACCUGAACUGAGACACGGGCCAGACUCCUACGGGAGGCAGCAGUGGGGAAUAGUGGACAAUGGGCGAAAGCCUGAUCCAGCCAUGCCGCGUGUGUGAAGAAGGUCUUCGGAUUGUAAAGCACUUUAAGUUGGGAGGCGUUACCUAAAGAAUAAGCACCGGCUAACUUCGUGCCAGCAGCCGCGGUAAUUC
rnacentral:rRNA from 1 species